ACGCGAAAGGCCCCUUCGGGGGCCGAGUAGAGUGGCGUCCGGGUGAGUAACACGUAGGUAAUCUACCUCUGGGUGGGGAAUAACGACCGGAAACGGUCGCUAAUACCGCAUAAUGCAGCGGCACCACAUGGUGACAGUUGUUAAAGCGGGGGAUCGCAAGACCUCGCGCCUAGAGAGGAGCCUGCGGCGGAUUAGCUAGUUGGCGGGGUAAUGGCCCACCAAGGCGACGAUCCGUAGCCGGCCUGAGAGGGCGGUCGGCCACACUGGCACUGACACACGGGCCAGACUCCUACGGGAGGCAGCAGUCGGGAAUUUUGGGCAAUGGGCGAAAGCCUGACCCAGCAACGCCGCGUGAAGGAUGAAGCUUUUCGGAGUGUAAACUUCAUAAGAAUGGGACGAAUAAGCGAGGGUUAAUACCUCUCGUGAUGACGGUACCAUUUGUAAGCUCCGGCUAACUCCGUGCCAGCAGCCGCGGUAAUACGGGGGGAGCAAGCGUUG
rnacentral:rRNA from 1 species